GCCGCGGCCACGAAAAGUGGACGCCGAGACUCCCCCGAUUCUCUUCCCCCGAAAUCUAGCCAUGCCCGAAAUGCCAGAGGACAUGGAACAGGAGGAAGUGAACAUCCCCAGCAGGCGGGCUCUGGUGACUGGUGCCACUGGGCUUCUAGGUAGAGCUGUGUACAAAGAAUUCCAGCAGAACAACUGGCAUGCGAUUGGUUGUGGUUUUAGAAGAGCAAGGCCAAAGUUUGAACAGGUUAAUCUGUUGGAUUCUGAAGCAGUUCAUCACAUCAUUCAUGAUUUUCAGCCCCAUGUCAUAGUACAUUGUGCAGCAGAGAGAAGACCGGAUGUUGUAGAGAAUCAGCCAGAUGCUGCUUCUCAGCUUAAUGUGGAUGCUUCUGGGAAUUUAGCAAAGGAAGCAGCUGCAGUUGGAGCAUUUCUUAUCUACAUUAGCUCAGAUUAUGUGUUUGAUGGAACAAAUCCACCUUAUAGAGAGGAAGACAUACCAGCCCCCCUAAAUUUAUAUGGCAAAACAAAAUUGGAAGGAGAAAAGGCUGUCUUGGAGAAUAAUUUAGGAGCUGCUGUUUUGAGAAUUCCUGUUCUGUAUGGGGAGGUUGAAAAGCUCGAAGAAAGCGCUGUCACUGUUAUGUUUGAUAAAGUGCAGUUCAGUUAUUCUGUUGGAGGACCUUGA